rnacentral:rRNA from 1 species
AACCCUUUGUGAACAUACCUAUAACUGUUGCUUCGGCGGGUAGGGUCUCCGCGACCCUCCCGGCCUCCCGCCUCCGGGCGGGUCGGCGCCCGCCGGAGGAUAACCAAACUCUGAUUUAACGACGUUUCUUCUGAGUGGUACAAGCAAAUAAUCAAAACUUUUAACAACGGAUCUCUUGGUUCUGGCAUCGAUGAAGAACGCAGCGAAAUGCGAUAAGUAAUGUGAAUUGCAGAAUUCAGUGAAUCAUCGAAUCUUUGAACGCACAUUGCGCCCGCCAGCAUUCUGGCGGGCAUGCCUGUUCGAGCGUCAUUUCAACCCUCCAGCUCUGCUUGGUGUUGGGGCCCUACAGCUGAUGUAGGCCCUCAAAGGUAGUGGCGGGCCCUCUCGGAGCCUCCUUUGCGUAGUAACUUUACGUCUCGCACUGGGAUCCGGAGGGACUCUUGCCGUAAAACCCCCAAUUUUCCAAAGGUUGACCUCGGAUCAGGUAGGAAUACCCGCUGAACUUAAGCAUCUCAAUAAGCGGAGGA